UCAAACCGACCCAACCAGCUGCCCGAUUCCAGGGCACGGCACCAACCCAAUAGCGACAGGCUCCCCAAACGU
rnacentral:sRNA from 2 species